rnacentral:rRNA from 1 species
AGAUUGAACGCUGGCGGCAUGCCUAACACAUGCAAGUCGAACGGGAGUAGCAAUACUCUAGUGGCGGACGGGUGAGGAAUACGUAGGAAUUUGCCCUUAAGUGGGGGAUAACCCGGGGAAACCCGGAUUAAUACCGCAUGACCUCGAAAGAGCAAAGUGGGGGAUCGCAAGACCUCACGCUUUUGGAGAAGCCUACGUCGGAUUAGCUAGUUGGUGAGGUAAUGGCUCACCAAGGCGACGAUCCGUAACUGGUCUGAGAGGAUGAUCAGUCACACCGGAACUGAGACACGGUCCGGACUCCUACGGGAGCAGCAGUGGGAAUAGUUGGACAAGUGGGCG